UACGUAGGGGGCAAGCGUUGUCCGGAAUCAUUGGGCGUAAAGCGCGUGUAGGCGGUUCGGUAAGUCUGCUGUGAAAGUCCAGGGCUCAACCCUGGGAUGCCGGUGGAUACUGUCGGACUAGAGUACGGAAGAGGCGAGUGGAAUUCCCGGUGUAGCGGUGAAAUGCGCGGAUAUCGGGAGGAACACCAAUUCGAAGGCAGCUCGCUGGGACGUUACUGACACUAAGGCGCGAAAGCGUGGGGAGCGAACAGG
rnacentral:rRNA from 1 species